AAUGAACGAAAGUUUGACACAGCGACACCGCGUGUGGGAUGACGGAUCUAGGUUUGUAAACCACUUUCAGGAGGGAAGAAAAUGACGGUACCUCCACAAGAAGCCCCGGCCAACUACGUGCCAGCAGCCGCGGUAAUACGUAGGGGGCGAGCGUUGUCCGGAUUUAUUGGGCGUAAAGAGCUCGUAGGCGGUUCAACAAGUCGGUCGUGAAAGUUCAGGGCUCAACCCUGAAAUGCGAUUGAUACUGUUGGACUAGGAUACGGUAGAGGUGAGUGGAAUUCCGAGUGUAGCGGUGAAAUGCGUAGAUAUUCGGAGGAACACCAACUGCGAAGGCAGCUCACUGGACCGCUAUCGACGCUGAGGAGCGAAAGCUAGGGGAGCAAACAGGAUU
rnacentral:rRNA from 1 species